rnacentral:rRNA from 1 species
GAUGAACGCUGGCGGCGUGCCUAAUACAUGCAAGUCGAGCGAACAGACGAGGAGCUUGCUCCUCUGACGUUAGCGGCGCACGUGUGAGUAACACGUGGAUAACCCACCUAUAAGACUGGGAUAACUUCGAGAAACCGGAUCUAAUACCAUAUAAUAUAGUGAACCGCAUGGGUCAAUAGUGAAAGACGGUUUUGCUGUCACUUAUAGAUGGAUCCGCGCCGCAUUAGCUAGUUGGUAAGGUAACGGCUUACCAAGGCAACGAUGCGUAGCCGACCUGAGAGGGUGGUCCGCCAGCCGGGAAGAGAGGCUGGGUCGCGACACCUGCGGUAGGCCACAGCAGGGAAUCUUACGCGAUGGAGGAGAGGUUGACAGAGCAACGUCGGGUGAGUGAUGAUGGUGUUCGGAUCGGAAAAGUAUGUUGUUAGGGAAAAACAAAUGUGUAAGUAUCUAUGAACGUAUUGACGGUACUUAAUAAGAAAGCGACGGCUAACUACGUG